AAGGGUUGCUUUUUAGAACUAGUGCAUGGCCCAGUCAUGUUCUCACUGGCUAUGCUACAGUGCAGAAAUAAAAUGCUUCCUUAUAACUGGUGUGGCUCAGCUUAAACCUGAGUGAAUCUAAGGGCAAUUUACAAUC
rnacentral:snoRNA from 1 species